rnacentral:rRNA from 1 species
AGAGGCGGGAUAUGACAAUAAGACGAGAAGACCCUAUGGAGCUUUAAUUAACCAGCCCAAAGAGAUCUUAAUAACCAACCGACAGGGUAUAACAAACCUCUACCAUGGGCUGACAAUUUAGGUUGGGGUGACCUCGGAGAAUAAAACAACCUCCGAGUGAUUUAAAUCUAGACUAACCAGUCAAAAGUAUUACAUCACUUAUUGAUCCAAAGA